AUGGAUCAACUAAGUAAUAAUGUGAAUGCUAUGUCGUUACCCGUAAGCAACAUGUUGUAUGGCUCGAGGGUAUGGGUAAAGAAGAAAGUUCAUGAAAGGGGGAUUCACUCUGGUUCAUGGAAUAUAGGCACACUCACUGGAAAAUCUACGGAAAUAGUGGAUGUUAUGGUUAGGAGGAAGAUCAAUUUUAUGUGCCUACAAGAAACUAGGUGGACAAGUAAAAAAGCAAAAGAAUUAGACAACUCGGGAUUUAAGCUUUGGUAUACUGGAAAAAUUAGAUCUAUAAUUAUGGAUAAGGAGUGA